rnacentral:rRNA from 1 species
GACGAACGCUGGCGGCGUGCCUAACACAUGCAAGUCGAACGAUGAAGAGAGGAGCUUACUCUUCUUGGUUGAGUUGCGAACGGGUGCGUAACGUGUAGGUAACCUGCCUUGUAGCGGGGGGUAACUAUUGGAAACGAUAGCUACUACCGCAUAACAAUGGAUGACACAUGUCAUUUAUUUGAAAGGAGCUAUUGCUUCACUACAAGAUGGACCUGCGUUGUAUUAGCUAGUAGGUGGGGUAAUGGCUCCUCUAGACGUCGAUGCAUAGCAGACCUGAGAGGGUGAGCUGCCACGCUGGGACGAGAACACGGCCCGGACUCCUGCGAGUGGCAGCAGUAGGGGACCCUCAGGAAAGGCAGCAGCGGUGACCGUGCAACACUGGGUGAGAGCAUGAGGUAGUCGGGUCGUGAGACUGAGUUAUGAGUUAAGGUCGGAAAGGUGUGUGGAAAGGUCAGACAAUGACGGUAGCGGACCAAUAAGGGACGGCUAACUACGUG